rnacentral:rRNA from 1 species
AUUGAACGCUGGCGGCAGGCCUAACACAUGCAAGUCGAACAAGUGGAGGACGGGUGAGUAAUGUCUGGGAAACUGCCCGAUGGAGGGGUAUAACUACUGGAAACGGUAGCUAAUACCGCAUACCAUCGGAUGUGCCCAGAUGGGAGUAGCUAGUAGGGGGGGUAACGGCUCACCUAGACGACGAUCCCUAGCUGGUCUGAGAGGAGGACCGUCCACACUGGAACUGAGACACGGUCCAGACUCCUACGGGAGGCAGCAGUGGGGAAUAUUGCCCACUGGGCGCAAGCCUGAUGCAGCCAUGCCGCGUGUAUGAAGAAGGCCUUCGGGUUGUAAAGUACUUUCAGCGAGGAGGCGUUACUCGCAGAAGAAGCACCGGCUAACUCCGUGCCAGCAGCCGCGGUAAUUC